CCUCAACCACCUCUCUCAGACGUCGCCGCCCCUAGCCACUCUCUCUCUCGGUUCCAUCUCUCUCCCAAGUCUCGAACCUAUCCAAACGGCGCAAGCUACCAGGGGUGAGCCCUGGCAUGGCGAGACCCUCCGGCGGUGCACGGCAGGGCGCGGCCCCUCCGGCUGUGCAUGCGGGUUAGGGUCUCCGGCGGCGUGUGCGGGUUAAGGGAUCCAGCGGCACAUGCGGCUCAAGGGCGAGCGCCUCCGGCGGCUCGCAGGUAGGCCGCGGCCCCCUCUGGUGGCACUCUCCUCCACGGUGCACCCCUCCCACGGUACAGGCAGUCCCCAUGCGCAUCGCCAGUCACGACCCCAGCCUGCGUCCUCCGCGGAGCAGGCACCAACAGGCGCAGAUCUGAGGAUGCCGCCUCCUCUGGUGCUCUGCAGCCACCUUCCCCACUAGGAGGAGCCGCAGUGCUGAAUUCUGAAGGUGUUGCUCAGAACAUAGGAGAGGCACAACAGUUGCUGGUAUGCAAUCAGCAAAUCUCUACGACUAAGGCCAAAAGAUAGUAUGGCGUGGACGGCUUGAUAUAGGAGUUAGUAAUAUCCAAACUAUUAUUGAUGUAUGGGCUUCAUGAGGAUGAAUGAUAAAUACACUUGUAAUGUUUGUAUGGAUACUUUACGUAUGGAUACUUUACGUCAAUAUAAUGGUUGAGGACCAUCGUAAAAUAUCCAUGUGCAUGUCAUCUUGUGUCACUUGAAUAUAGUUACUAGAAUAUUAGAAUA